rnacentral:rRNA from 1 species
UGGGGAAUUUUGGACAAUGGGCGCAAGCCUGAUCCAGCCAUGCCGCGUGAGUGAAGAAGGCCUUCGGGUUGUAAAGCUCUUUCGGCGGGGAAGAAAUGGCACGCUCUAACAUAGCGUGUUGAUGACGGUACCCGCAUAAGAAGCACCGGCUAACUACGUGCCAGCAGCCGCGGUAAUACGUAGGGUGCGAGCGUUAAUCGGAAUUACUGGGCGUAAAGCGUGCGCAGGCGGUUUCGUAAGACAGAGGUGAAAUCCCCGGGCUCAACCUGGGAAUGGCCUUUGUGACUGCGAGGCGAGAGUGUGACAGAGGGGGGUAGAAUUCCACGUGUAGCAGUGGAAUGCGUAGAGAUGUGGAGGAAUACCGAUGGCGAAGGCAGCCCCCUGGGUUACUACUGACGCUCAUGCACGAAAGCGUGGGGAGCAAACA